rnacentral:rRNA from 1 species
UACGUAGGGGGCUAGCGUUGUCCGGAAUCAUUGGGCGUAAAGAGCGUGUAGGCGGCCCGGUAAGUCCGCUGUGAAAGUCGGGGGCUCAACCCUCGAAUGCCGGUGGAUACUGUCGGGCUAGAGUGCGGAAGAGGAGAGUGGAAUUCCUGGUGUAGCGGUGAAAUGCGCAGAUAUCAGGAAGAACACCCGUGGCGAAGGCGGCUCUCUGGGACGUGACUGACGCUGAGACGCGAAAGCGUGGGGAGCGAACAGG